CCUACGGGUGGCAGCAGUGAGGAAUAUUGGUCAAUGGACGAGAGUCUGAACCAGCCAAGUAGCGUGAAGGAUGACUGCCCUAUGGGUUGUAAACUUCUUUUAUAAAGGAAUAAAACGAGGCACGUGUGCCUUUUUGCAUGUACUUUAUGAAUAAGGAUCGGCUAACUCCGUGCCAGCAGCCGCGGUAAUACGGAGGAUCCGAGCGUUAUCCGGAUUUCUUGGGUUUAAAGGGAGCGUAGAUGGGUUGUUAAGUCAGUUGUGAAAUUUUGCGGCUCAACCGUAAAAUUGCAAUUGAUACUGGCAGUCUUGAGUACAGUUGAGGUAGGCGGAAUUCGUGGUGUAGCGGUGAAAUGCUUAGAUAUCACGAAGAACCCCGAUUGCGAAGGCAGCUUACUAAACUGUGACUGACAUUGAUGCUCGAAAGUGUGGGUAUCAAACAGGAUUAGAUACCCUAGUAGUC
rnacentral:rRNA from 1 species